rnacentral:rRNA from 1 species
AUUGAACGCUGGCGGCAUGCCUUACACAUGCAAGUCGAACGGCAGCACGGGUGCUUGCACCUGGUGGCGAGUGGCGAACGGGUGAGUAAUAUAUCGGAACAUACCCUAGAGUGGGGGAUAACGUAGCGAAAGUUACGCUAAUACCGCAUACGAACUAAGGUUGAAAGUGGGGGAUCGCAAGACCUCAUGCUCAUGGAGUGGCCGAUAUCUGAUUAGCUAGUUGGUGAGGUAAAGGCUCACCAAGGCGACGACCAGUAGCUGGUUUGAGAGAACGACCAGCCACACUGGAACUGAGACACGGUCCAGACUCCUACGGGAGGCAGCAGUGGGGAAUUUUGGACAAUGGGGGCAACCCUGAUCCAGCAAUGCCGCGUGAGUGAAGAAGGCCCUCGGGUUGUAAAGCUCUUUUGUCAGGGAAGAAACGGUCUACUCUAAUACAGUGGACUAAUGACGGUACCUGAAGAAUAAGCACCGGCUAACUACGUGCCAGCCGCCGCGGUAA